rnacentral:rRNA from 1 species
CCAAUAGCGUAUAUUAAAGUUGUUGCAGUUAAAAAGCUCGUAGUUGAAUUUCGGGAUCAAGGAAUCGGUCAUGCCUCGGUAUGUACUGGUUUUAUUGGUUCUCACCUUCUAAAGAACCAUAAUGUCAUUUAUUUGAUGUUAUGGGGAAUUAGGACUGUUACCUUGAAAAAAUUAGAGUGUUUAAAGCAAGCUCACGCUUGAAUACAUUAGCAUGGAAUAAUGAAAUAGGACAUCCGAUUCUAUUUUGUUGGUUUCUAGGAUCGAUGUAAUGAUUAAUAGGGAUAGUUGGGGGCAUUAGUAUUCAAUUGUCAGUGGUGAAAUUCUUGGAUUUAUUGAAGACUAACUACUGCGAAAGCAUUUGCCAAGGAUGUUUUCAUUAAUCAAGAACGAAAGUUAGGGGAUCGAAGACGAUCAGAUACCGUCGUAGUCUUAACCAUAAACUAUGCCGACUAGGGAUCGGAUGAUGUUUAUUUUUUAGUGACUCAUUCGGCACCUUACG